GGGGCUGUAGCUCAGCUGGGAGAGCGCUACAUUCGCAUUGUAGAGGCCGUCGGUUCGAUCCCGAUCAGCUCCA
rnacentral:tRNA from 1 species